rnacentral:rRNA from 1 species
GAGUUUGAUCCUGGCUCAGAUUGAACGCUGGCGGUAUGCUUAACACAUGCAAGUCGAACGGUAGCAGGCCUUCGGGCGCUGACGAGUGGCGGACGGGUGAGUAACGCGUAGGAAUCUGCCUCAUAGUGGGGGACAACGUGGGGAAACCCACGCUAAUACCGCAUACGCCCUACAGGGGAAAGCGGGGGACCUUCGGGCCUCGCGCUAUGAGAUGAGCCUGCGUUAGAUUAGCUAGUUGGUAGGGUAAAGGCCUACCAAGGCGACGAUCUAUAGCUGGUCUGAGAGGACGAUCAGCCACACUGGGACUGAGACACGGCCCAGACUCCUACGGGAGGCAGCAGUGGGGAAUAUUGGACAAUGGGCGCAAGCCUGAUCCAGCAAUACCGCGUGUGUGAAGAAGGCCCUAGGGUUGUAAAGCACUUUCAAUGGGGAGGAAAACCUGCCGGUCAAUACCCGGUAGCUUGACAUUACCUAUAGAAGAAGCACCGGCUAACUCCGUGCCAGCAGCCGCGGUAAUACGGAGGGUGCGAGCGUUAAUCGGAAUUACUGGGCGUAAAGCGUGCGUAGGCGGUUCGUUAAGUCAGAUGUGAAAGCCCCGGGCUUAACCUGGGAACUGCAUUUGAAACUGGCGGACUUGAGUUGAGUAGA